ensembl:miRNA
GCGGGGUGAGGUAGUAGGUUGUGUGGUUUCCGGGCAGUGAUGUCGCCCCUCGGAAGAUAACUAUACAACCUACUGCCUUCCCUGA